CAUUGAAUUCCAUCUAUAGUAGUCAUCACUCAUUAGUAAUCAAGAUGUUGGCUUUCUUGGAUCAUAUUUUUAUUUACAUAUUGCCGUUGUUUCUAAGUGGUGCGUUCCUAAUCAGAUGGUACAAUUCUACACCGCCAACUAUCAUCAGGAAACUACCUCCUUCACCACCAACGUUGCCGGUUAUUGGCAACCUCCACCAGCUCGGGGCACUCGUCCACCAGUCAUUCUUUUCUCUGGCCAGACGCUAUGGUGACUCCCUCAUGCUCCUCCACAUCGGCUCAGUCCCAAGCCUGGUCGUCUCGUCAACUGAAGCGGCUCGUGAGAUCAUGAAGACACAUGAUUUAGCAUUUGCCAGCAGGCCCACCACCAGGAUGUUCAGGACCAUCUCCUACGAUCUCAAGGAAAUAACAGUCGCUCCUUAUGGUGAAUACUGGAGGCAAGCAAAGAGUAUUCUAACUCUCCAGCUUCUGAGUAACAAAAAGGUCCAGUCUUUUGAUGGGCUUAGGGAAAAGAUAAUCGGCGAUUGCCUCGCUAAAAUCAACCAAUGUUUCUUGUCAAACAAGCCUGCGGACUUGAGCGACUUGUUUAGCUCACUUACGAACGAUGUCACAUGCAUGGCGACGUUUGGGAGGACGUAUAACGAAGGAGAGAUUGGUAUGAAAUUUAAAAAGAUCAUGCAAGACUUCUCCGAGGUUUUGGGUAGCUUUUAUUUUGAGGAUUCUAUUCCUCAGCUUGCAUUCGUGGAUCGGAUUACUGGUCUUAGUGCUAAAGUCGAUAGGGUAGCAGUGGAUUUUGAUGAGUUCCUUCAAAAUGUGGUUGAUGAGACUUUAUCCAAGAAAAGAAAUAACCCUAAUCCAGUUAGUGGUGAUGAACACGGUGUGGAGACCUUCAUUGAUGCACUACUCAAGAUUCAGAAGGAAGAUAUUCUUGGCAUCACCAUCGACGCAGACGUCAUCAAAGCACUGCUUUUGGUAUAAUAUAUACAAAUUAAUCUCUUUUCAUCUUAUAUACAUGAACAAUUGACAAUUGAAUGAAUUAUCCACUAAAGUAUUUGUUUUGACCUAUUAAUUUUGUAUGUAUGUAGGAUGCGUAUGUUGCUGGUACGGAUACAUCAUCAUCCGUACUGGAAUGGGCGAUGACCGAACUUCUGUUACAUCGUGAUUGCCUUGAGAAAGUCCAGGGCGAGAUAAGGGCAGUCCUUAACGGAAAGAAAGACAUAACUGACAGCGAUGUGGAGAAGAUGAAGUAUCUAAAAUGCGUCAUCAUGGAAGCCACCCGCCUCCAUCCUCCCCUUCCAGUUCUACCACCACGAGUUGCAAGACACGAUGCCAAAGUAAUGGGGUAUGAUAUUGCAGAAGGAACUAGGGUAUACGUCAAUGUUUAUGCAAUUAUGAGGGAUCCUAAAGUGUGGGAUAAACCUGAAACGUUUAUGCCGGAGAGGUUCUUGGAGUCAUGUAUUGAUUUCGUGAGGCACAAUUUUGAGUUGCUUACAUUUGGUGCUGGAAGGAGGAGUUGCCCUGGAAGGAUAUUUGCCAUGGCCAUCAAUGAGAAGGUGUUGGCUAAUGUUUUGUACAGGUUCGAUUGGGCUCUGCCACAAGGAGUUAGGCCACAGGACGUUGAUAUGAAUGAAACUUUUGGUCUCGCUAAUCACCGGAAGGUUCCAUUGCUAGCUCUUGGGACACCAUUCCAUUCUCCCCAUAAUAAUUAACCUAGCCAUUAUCUAAAAUAUUCCUAGUUGAAUGGAUGGAUAUUUGCCAUUAAUUUAUUCGUUUAUUUUGGAAAAAAUUUCAUGUACGAUUGUAUUUGUAGCCCAAGUUAUAUGAUGAUAUGCAUAUUCUUUUGUUAAAUUAAUAUAUAGUGGGCAAACAUAAUGGUAUCGUUAUAUAACCAUUCACAUAGUUUUUCAUCUGUUGCUCUUUAUAAAUUUUUCACACAUCAGUGUAAAAUAUUCAUGUAUGAUUUUAGCUUUUACAUCAAUAUUUUAAAAGCAUGGUUAUUGUACAUAUUUCUAAAUGAGGUUAUAUUCAUUAAUCUAUUAAAAAAAUCAAAAACUGCAUCCAUCGUUCUAAGGCCCCGUUUGGUAGCCUUUUAAUUGAAAAAUUAAGAGGCAGACUCUUAAUUUUUCAGAUUUAGACUGUUUGGUUGGAUAUGAAUUUAUGCCUCUUAAUUUUUAAGAAGCGUUUUAAAAUUUCAGAUAUAAAACUACGUCUGAAAAAAUAAAAAGAUCUCGUUCCCUUUUUGCCCAAAUACUUCUUCUCUUUCCUCUGCCUUUCUUCUUCACAAUUGUCGCUUUUCUUCUUGCCCCCUCCCACUGAAACGCCAAUUGCAACCCUCCGCCAUCCCUUCCGGUCAUCCCCUUCGGAACGUUGGGCUUAGAUUUAAAAUGUGUGUGAUAGCCAAGAAAGCCCCAUUUUACCCUUGAGGCCUUGACCUCUUCACUUUUCCAUUGACUUCGACCUCUUCAAAGCAACCACCCUCAUCUCCGGUGUGUCACCCUCACAUCGACACCGCCCCUCCAGCGACUGUGGGUGUGUACAAGAGAGAACACCAAAAACUGAAGAGGCCGCGUAAGACUUCAUGGGUUCAUUAUCCUCUCCCAAGGCUGACGUCAUCAUCGAUUUGGGAAAUCCUCUUCUCAAUCACAGCGUCGAUCGAUGACUUCUUGAAAGAUCAGAACUCUCUAUGUAUUCGUUAUCUUCUCCCAAAGUGUUUUUUGUUUUUGUUUCUGCUUCCCAAUUAGGUCUUAAGAGUUCUAAUUUUGAUGUGAUAAUUCGCAUUUCAGGUUGCUGAUGAUACCAUGAUCAAAGAACAAGUGGGAAAUGUGUUGUUGUUGGCCUUAAGAUGUACCAAAUGGGAGGCAACAAGAAGUGCUCGUGAAGAAAGCAGAGCUUGAUACUGUGAACAUAAUCAAAUCAUCAAUAUCUAGGUCAAAGUUGGGUGAUUUCACAUCAAUAUUGGUGUUGUUUUAAUGAAUUUUGAUGUUGUUUUUUUUUACUGAAUUUUGAUGUUUUUAUUAGUUUUGAUGUUAUUUGGUGAAAUUUAUGGUUAUAGUUUUUUAAGUACGAACUCUUGAUAAGGAAAAAUUGGAAGUACAAUGUUGUAGUUGAAAGAAAUGAUAUAGAAGGGCAAAACGGUCAUUUUUAUUAUUCAGCACAACAAUUCAGAGGUUCUAGCCAAACAGAUUUUUAAAAUUUAGAUCUUAAAAAUUCAGACCCUCUUAGAAAUUCAGACUUCUUAAAAAUUCAGAUUUUAAAAAUUCAGAUCCUGCCAAACAGCCCCUAAGUCCUUAACGAAUUGAAAUCAUUCAUGAUACACUACUCAUAAUGACAUCAACUAGUAGGAUAAACACGUCUAAUAUCCUUAUAAGGAAAUCUUAACCAUUUAAUGAUCAUUAUCAAGAUCGUAUAAAAAAUACAUGAUAAUAUAUCUUACCAAGAUACUCUAUUGUUAAACAAUACUUAGUAUAUAAAUAAAGUUUAAUGGAUUUUCAUGUCAUCAUUAUAUAUUUUAUAUAAUUCCAUCAAUUUUUUUGUACAAUGUAUUGAACUCUAUAAAAUUCAAUAAAUAUUUUUAAAUAUUUAUUUAUGUAAGAGAAAACUUUCAUUUUUUCCAUUGAAAUAUUCAAUGACUAUUAGACUCCAAACUUAUUGAAUAUCAAUAUAAAACCUCACAACGGUAGGGUUGCAUCUAUUUAAUGACGAGUAAGUUUGUCACCUCACUCAAUUCUCCUACUAAACUCUCCAUUAUGCAUGCUCAUAAUAUGCAAAUAAAAUGUAACGAUUCGAUUUUUCUCAACUAAUAUUAUGGAGAUUUAUCAGAGUUUUUCUAUACAAAUGUGGAAUUCUAAUUUUACAUUCCAGGAUAUUAUCGGGUUUACAACAUAUCAUAACCAUAAUUUAAAGCAACAAGGUAGUACCAAAUAAAAAACUAUAUCUAGUCCAAAUUACGAGGUGUGUCUUCUCAUUAUACUAUGUACGAUGCUAGUUGUCUUUGUGAUAGUUGCAUGAAAGACCAUGAUCUAGCCCCUGACAUCUGUAUGAAAGACCAUGGGGGUAGCUCAUGGCAGUUGUAUGAAAGACCAUGGGGUAGCCGAUGACCUUUGCUUGUAAGACCAUGAUUUGGUUAUUGCACUGCAAGGAAAAACCAUAGGGGUAGCCCAGUGUGACAUCCCCAAAAUCACGGCCAGAAAAGACCGGUUUCAUUUAUGCUUGUAAAAUAAUUUCAGAGUAAAUCUAUUGAUUAAAAAGUGUUGCGUAAUUUGUCCCCAAAACAUUACAUGAUAAAAUAAGAUUUAUCAAAGCAUUUCUUAAAGAAAUGUAUUUUCAUUAUAUCUCAAAACUCGAGAUGUCAUGUUCCGAUACAGACACAAAAACAUAAACCUUACACAGUUAUAUACAACUAUUGGUCUAUAAACAAAAACAUCUUCACAAGUUGUCCAACUUAUGCUCUCGCGCCACUACCUGUAAUACAAAGAAACUGAGUGGGUCAGGCUUGGGAGUCUGUUGAGCAUAUAGGGUUUUCAACCCACAAUAAAUAAUUAUAUUUAAUUUUCACCAACCAACAAAUCAACAAUAACCCGAUUACCCAUUCCUGUUAUCCUCACUUUACGUCCCUAUGACAACAACUAUUACAAGGGACCUAAUCUAGGAUUUUCAUCGGGACGAACAUUACUGCAAAGGGGUUUCCUCAACAAUAGAUGUCCUAAAGGCAACCAUGAGGGGGAUAGAGUACACCGAUGAACACAUCGUUCACAACACUUAUAGGUUAUGAACCUGCCAGCGUUCCACUGGACUGUCUAGAAAGAGUCUGUGGUCAUCAUCCAUACUCCGCUAGAUUACUAGAUCAACAACAACAUCGAGGCCUCUCAUCAUUUUUAUUUCAUCACACAUCAACUAUCUACCCAAGCUUUACCCAACAUUUUUGUAGAUAUACAUUUAUACAUGACUUAAAACAUGUAUAAUAUAUUCAUUCAAUAUCCAUCCCAAAUAACAUAUAACAUAUAAACAUAUAACAUGUAUUUUAUAGAGAAAUAAUUCAUAUCUAUGUGUUAGAAGAAAGCAAUUACACACUCACUUGAUAAGACGAUGCUCGGACAGCACUACAACUCUUAAAAUAAUAAUCUUUGAUGAAACCGAGAUAUCUUCCAAAAACCGGGCAUCUCGUGGGCAGAGCUUCGGCUUGAAAACUCUUUUCUUCUCGGGAUCUUCGGGGCUUCGGGACUUGCUUCGGGUAUCGGGAUGAUAUCGGGGCUUCGGGGGGUAUUUCUUGCCAAGUAGAAGAAAGAAAAAGGGGGGAGAAGUGGAAAAUUAGCAAAAAGAUCAGCAACCCUUGAGUUCUAUUUAUAGGGGUUGAACCCCGAUUUACGUUGGGCGUACUCCGUUGUCGACAUAUACGUUGGGCGUACCGGGUGGAUCAGACCGGACGAGUCACGACUUCGAAUAAGCUUCCGAAUUUAUAAUUUUAUUUAUUUAUUUUAUUUAUUUAAAAACUUCAUAAAUUCAUAACUUCUGCAUACGAGCUCCGUUUUUGACAUUCUUUAUAUCCACACAUAGGUGAGACUAUGCUCUACAACUUUCGUUUAGACACCGUCGGCUAAUUUUGACUUUAUUUUCAUUAUAUUAUUUUUAGUAGGUCAGGAUAGGAAAAUUCCGUUAGAAAUUCAUAACUUCUUCAUCCGACGUCCGUUUUCGUCUGUCUUUUCACCGUUGGACUACUAAUUUUGACCAUUAUGCAUUUUUUUUUUUUUUGUAUAUUCAUAUGUAUCUAAUUUUGUUAAAUAUUUCAAUCAAUUUUUGAUUUUAACUUAGAUUUUGACAUAUAUAAUUUCCUUAAAAUAUUUUUACAUGAAUUACCGAAUUCGAAUACCCUGAGUACUCCGAGUACUCGCUAUUCGAUGGUCGACCGACCAAGUACCGAGUAACGAGUUUUAAAGUGUCUACCGUACCAAAUCUUCUUUUACGGCGGACCUAGAUUGUUUUCUUUUUGUUUUUACAUGGAAAUGGGGCAAUGAGUUAUUGUUUCGUGAAUGGAGGUUCCUUUCUGGCGUGCGGCCGCCUGUACACAAGAUCUGAAGUACGUAUAAAUAAGUGAAGAAAGCACGUCAUUUCAACACAAUUCCACAUACCAUUGAAUUCCAUCUAUAGUAGUCAUCACUCAUUAGUAAUCAAGAUGUUGGCUUUCUUGGAUCAUAUUUUUAUUUACAUAUUGCCGUUGUUUCUAAGUGGUGCGUUCCUAAUCAGAUGGUACAAUUCUACACCGCCAACUAUCAUCAGGAAACUACCUCCUUCACCACCAACGUUGCCGGUUAUUGGCAACCUCCACCAGCUCGGGGCACUCGUCCACCAGUCAUUCUUUUCUCUGGCCAGACGCUAUGGUGACUCCCUCAUGCUCCUCCACAUCGGCUCAGUCCCAAGCCUGGUCGUCUCGUCAACUGAAGCGGCUCGUGAGAUCAUGAAGACACAUGAUUUAGCAUUUGCCAGCAGGCCCACCACCAGGAUGUUCAGGACCAUCUCCUACGAUCUCAAGGAAAUAACAGUCGCUCCUUAUGGUGAAUACUGGAGGCAAGCAAAGAGUAUUCUAACUCUCCAGCUUCUGAGUAACAAAAAGGUCCAGUCUUUUGAUGGGCUUAGGGAAAAGAUAAUCGGCGAUUGCCUCGCUAAAAUCAACCAAUGUUUCUUGUCAAACAAGCCUGCGGACUUGAGCGACUUGUUUAGCUCACUUACGAACGAUGUCACAUGCAUGGCGACGUUUGGGAGGACGUAUAACGAAGGAGAGAUUGGUAUGAAAUUUAAAAAGAUCAUGCAAGACUUCUCCGAGGUUUUGGGUAGCUUUUAUUUUGAGGAUUCUAUUCCUCAGCUUGCAUUCGUGGAUCGGAUUACUGGUCUUAGUGCUAAAGUCGAUAGGGUAGCAGUGGAUUUUGAUGAGUUCCUUCAAAAUGUGGUUGAUGAGACUUUAUCCAAGAAAAGAAAUAACCCUAAUCCAGUUAGUGGUGAUGAACACGGUGUGGAGACCUUCAUUGAUGCACUACUCAAGAUUCAGAAGGAAGAUAUUCUUGGCAUCACCAUCGACGCAGACGUCAUCAAAGCACUGCUUUUGGUAUAAUAUAUACAAAUUAAUCUCUUUUCAUCUUAUAUACAUGAACAAUUGACAAUUGAAUGAAUUAUCCACUAAAGUAUUUGUUUUGACCUAUUAAUUUUGUAUGUAUGUAGGAUGCGUAUGUUGCUGGUACGGAUACAUCAUCAUCCGUACUGGAAUGGGCGAUGACCGAACUUCUGUUACAUCGUGAUUGCCUUGAGAAAGUCCAGGGCGAGAUAAGGGCAGUCCUUAACGGAAAGAAAGACAUAACUGACAGCGAUGUGGAGAAGAUGAAGUAUCUAAAAUGCGUCAUCAUGGAAGCCACCCGCCUCCAUCCUCCCCUUCCAGUUCUACCACCACGAGUUGCAAGACAC
rnacentral:lncRNA from 1 species